AUUGAACGCUGGCGGCAUGCUUUACACAUGCAAGUCGAACGGUAACAGGUUAAGCUGACGAGUGGCGAACGGGUGAGUAAUGCAUCGGAACGUGCCCGAUCGUGGGGGAUAACGCAGCGAAAGCUGCGCUAAUACCGCAUACGAUCUGAGGAUGAAAGCGGGGGACCGUAAGGCCUCGCGCGAUCGGAGCGGCCGAUGUCAGAUUAGGUAGUUGGUGGGGUAAAGGCUCACCAAGCCAACGAUCUGUAGCGGGUCUGAGAGGACGACCAGCCACACUGGGACUGAGACACGGCCCAGACUCCUACGGGAGGCAGCAGUGGGGAAUUUUGGACAAUGGGCGAAAGCCUGAUCCAGCAAUGCCGCGUGCAGGAAGAAGGCCUUCGGGUCGUAAACUCCUGUCAGUGGAGACGAAUGCCUCGCAAGAGGUUUGACUGUACCCGCUGAGGAAGCCACGGCUAACUCCGUGCCAGCAGCCGCAGUAACAC
rnacentral:rRNA from 1 species